AACGCUAGCUACAGGCUUAACACAUGCAAGUCGAGGGGCAGCAUUGGAGUAGCAAUACUUCAGAUGGCGACCGGCGCACGGGUGAGUAACACGUAUCCAACCUGCCGCUUACUCGGGGAUAGCCUUUCGAAAGAAAGAUUAAUACCCGAUGGUAUAAAGAGUUCGCAUGUUCUCUUUAUUAAAGAAUUUCGGUAAGCGAUGGGGAUGCGUUCCAUUAGAUAGUUGGCGGGGUAACGGCCCACCAAGUCUACGAUGGAUAGGGGUUCUGAGAGGAAGGUCCCCCACACUGGUACUGAGACACGGACCAGACUCCUACGGGAGGCAGCAGUGAGGAAUAUUGGUCAAUGGGCGAGAGCCUGAACCAGCCAAGUCGCGUGAAGGAUGAAGGAUCUAUGGUUUGUAAACUUCUUUUAUACGGGAAUAAAGUUCAGGACGUGUCCUGUUUUGUAUGUACCGUUAUGAAUAAGCAUCGGCUAACUCCGUGCCAGCAGCCGCGGUAAUACGGAGGAUGCGAGCGUUAUCCGGAUUUAUUGGGUUUAAAGGGUGCGUAGGUGGUAGAUUAAGUCAGCGGUGAAAGUUUGUCGCUCAACGAUAAAAUUGCCGUUGAUACUGGUUUACUUGAGUAUAGUUGAAGUAGGCGGAAUGCGUGGUGUAGCGGUGAAAUGCAUAGAUAUCACGAAGAACUCCGAUUG
rnacentral:rRNA from 1 species